GGAGUUAAGAAAUGUAGGAAUGUUAAUAGCAUUUCUAUUUGACUAAGGCUCCAGAGGAAGCCACGGCUAACUCUGUUCCAGCAGCCGCGGUAAUACAGAGGUGGCAAGCGUUGUUCGGAAUUAUUGGGCGUAAAGAGCACGUAGGCGGCCCUGCCAGUCAGUUGUGAGAGCCUUCCGCUCAACGGAAGAACGGCAGCUGAUACUACAGGGCUAGAGUACGGGAGGGGAGAGUG
rnacentral:rRNA from 1 species